CAUGUUUUCAGUGAGACGACUUUCUGAGCUCCUGAGAAAUAUCUGGAAGAAGUCCUGUGCUUCUCUUAUUGCCAGCUUCAGGAGAACCAGAAGAGCAAUCAACUGUCAUCAGUGAGCGAGGAGCAAAUCAUGCUGGGCGGGGAAUUCGUUUCCACGUCGGCAAUUAAGGCCUGCGGAUUGUGGCUGCUGCCUGGUUCACGGAGCCGGGCCCGAGUCCUCUUGUUGGAACUUCAGCCGCCUCUGUGACCCUGCCGACCAAGCGAGCCCGUCUUCCGACCGCCGCUCGGGAUCAAGAGCUCCUCCUCGGCUGGCGUGGGAUACCUAAUCGGGGCCGGGGGAGCGCGGGUCACCUCAGCCCGGCCGUGGGCAGGUAGCGAUGUGCUCACUGGCAGAUGGUGGCCAUUACCGACGCUCCGCGAAGGCCGCGUGGAGAGGCGGGCACCGAGUGUUUCCUUGAGAGACCCUAAAGUGUCCGUCACCGGGGCUUCAUCUAUUGCCCUCUGGAGUUCCUCGGGCCGACUCACUGCC